GACUCCGUAGCUCAGUUGGUAGAGCAAAUGACUCUUAAUCAUUGGGUCGAGGGUUCGAGCCCCUCCGGGGUCACAA
rnacentral:tRNA from 1 species